rnacentral:rRNA from 1 species
UACGAAGGGGGCGAGCGUUGUUCGGAUUUACUGGGCGUAAAGGGCGCGCAGGCGGCUCAUUUUGUCAGGCGUGAAAGCCCCGGGCUUAACCUGGGAACUGCGUUUGAUACGGAUGGGCUAGAGUUCGGGAGAGGAGCGUGGAAUUCCCAGUGUAGAGGUGAAAUUCGUAGAUAUUGGGAAGAACACCGGUGGCGAAGGCGGCGACCUGGUCCGAUACUGACGCUGAGGCGCGAAAGCGUGGGGAGCAAACAGG